UUCAAAACACCAAAUAAAUGGCCAAGAGAUUUAUCCUAGGUCAAACAAGGUCAAAGGACCUUAGACAAAAAAUUUCAUGAUUUUUGAAAAAUCAGAAGUAUUUUUAAACAAUUAAAAAUAUGCACAAAAACAUUUAAUUCAUGAAAAAUAUCAAAAUUAACCCAAAAAAUAAUUUUAAUUCAAAAAAUGAAAGAUAAAAAUAUUU
rnacentral:lncRNA from 1 species